CUCCUACUAUUAUCAUUAUCUUUAAAUUUAAUCUUCCAUUAGCAUCAGUUGACUGCUUUGUUUUGGUUUUGUAUCAGAGCACCGACACUAGUUCAACAGUGAAAAGGUUUUUUUUAAACGCUGUUGGAGAUCAGCAAGAAAUUGUCCUAACUUUGAGUUGUCAUUCAUGUCAGGUGUACUUUGGUUACAGGGGCCAACAAAGGCAUUGGGCUGGAGAUAUGUAGUCAGUUAGCAUCUGCUGGAUUUGUGGUCAUAUUAACUGCUAGAUUCUAGAGAUGAGAAGAGAGGCGUAGAAGCUGUGGAAAAUCUCAAAGCUUCUGGGUUGUCUCAUGUGGAUUUUCAUCGACUUGAUGUGAAAGAACAGGCCAGCAUAGCUUCAUAUGCAAAAUUUAUUGAAGCCCAUUUCGGAAAACUUGAUAUACUUGUAAACAACGCAGGAGAUGGUGGACUAGUCAUAAACUGUGAAGCCUAAACGGCCUUUGUACUUGCUGGCAAUGUACAAGCAUUGCUUAACUUCUCAAUUGAUUGGCAAGCAAGACUAAAAAAUUUUAAAUUCUAGAAGGUGAUUGAUGAAAAUGCCCACUUGCUGAAGGAUAUUCUCAAGCAGACUUAUGAGGAGGCAGAAGAAUGGGUGAAAACGAAUUACUAUGGAACCAAAGGAGUAACUGAAGCAUUUCUUCCCCUUCUGCAACUCUCCCAAUCAGCAAGAAUAGCGAAUAUCUCCUCCUUCCAUGGACAGCUAAAGGUAAUAAAGCACAAUAAGGUAUUCAUCCUUGAUUUGCAAUACAUAAAAGUACUGGAAACAUGUAACCCAUCAUAGUUUCAUCUUGCUAUCCCUGUUUAUCAACAAUGAGAGGGCUAAAGCAGUGCUAGAGAAUGUUAAUGAUCUAAUAGAAGAGAAAAUAGACGAGGUUUUGUGAUGGUUUUUAAGGGAUUUCAAUGAGCAAAAGUUGGAGGCCAAUGGUUGGCCGAAAACUGUAUCAGCCUAUAAGGUAUCCAAAGCUGCUGUAAAUGCCUAUACAAAACUCAUUGCAAAAAGGAUCCCUCAACACCAUAUAAAUUCUAUCCAUACAGGAAGGGUCAAAACAGAGAUGACAUGUGACAUUGUAAAAUUGAGUCCUCAUGAAGGUGCAAGAGGUCCUGUGAUGUUUUCUUUGCUGCCUGAAACUGGUCCUACAGGCUUAUUCUCUGACGAGAUUGAGGUAUCUAGCUUUUGAUGUAAGACAACCCAGAAGUAUCAAUCUUGGAUUGAUUACAUAACCUUGUUAUCCUUUGAAAGAAGCUGUAACUUUGGAAUAACAUUAAUGACUCAAUUUAAAAAUAAAAAAUGGGUCUUUUGAGUUAAAGCUAGUGGGCUAACCUUUUAGUGUUUAUUCUAUUUAUGUUAAGAGGACAUGAAAGAAACUACUUAUCACACAGAGAGAGAGAGAGAGAGAGAGAGGGAGAGAGAAAUUAUAUUUCAUACUCAAAUCUCAGAUGGUUACAUAAAUUAUACAUUUUGUUUACAUAACAUCAGAAGCUAACAUUUGAACACAAUUGCAUUCAUUGCUUCUGGUGAAACGACCUACCAAACUUCCAACCCAUUGCAUGAGACAAUAAGUUUACUUUAACGCUUCAUUUCAGGUAAAAUAACUACCAGAAAAAUCUAGUCAAAUAGUGAAUGGGUUGAACUUCACGGCCAUUGUGUUUUUCCGCUUCAAAUGAAUGUUCCUGAAUAUUAAUGGGUCCUCUUUAAACUUUAGGAUGGCCCCUGGCAGCAUUGCGUCUUGCACAGCAUCCCACAAAGUAUAUCAUUGCC